rnacentral:rRNA from 1 species
AUUGAACGCUGGCGGCAGGCCUAACACAUGCAAGUCGAGCGGAUGAAGGGAGCUUGCUCCUGGAUUCAGCGGCGGACGGGUGAGUAAUGCCUAGGAAUCUGCCUGGUAGUGGGGGAUAACGUCCGGAAACGGGCGCUAAUACCGCAUACGUCCUGAGGGAGAAAGUGGGGGAUCUUCGGACCUCACGCUAUCAGAUGAGCUUAGGUCGGAUUAGCUAGUUGGUGGGGUAAAGGCCUACCAAGGCGACGAUCCGUAACUGGUCUGAGAGGAUGAUCAGUCACACUGGAACUGAGACACGGUCAAGAGUCCUACGGGAGGCAGCAGUGGGGAAUAGUGGACAAUGGGCGAAAGCCUGAUCCAGCGAGGCCGCGUGUGUGAAGAAGGUCUUCGGAUUGUAAAGCACUUUAAGUUGGGAUGAAGGGCAGUAAGUUAAUACCUUGCUGUAUUGACGUUACCAGCAGAAUAAGCACCGGCUAACUUCGUG